rnacentral:rRNA from 1 species
CCUACGGGCGGCAGCAGUAGGGAAUAUUGCUCAAUGGGGGAAACCCUGAAGCAGCAACGCCGCGUGGAGGAUGAAGGUUUUCGGAUUGUAAACUCCUUUUGGUAGAGAAGAUAAUGACGGUAUCUAACGAAUAAGCACUGGCUAACUCCGUGCCACCAGCCGAGGUAACACGGAGGGUGCAAGCGUUACUCGGAAUCACUGGGCGUAAAGGGCGCGUAGGCGGGUUAGCAAGUCAGAUGUGAAAUGCUAUGGCUUAACCAUAGAACUGCAGUUGAAACUGGUAGUCUCGAGUAUGGGAGAGGUAGGUGGAAUUCUUGGUGUAGGGGUAAAAUCCGUAGAGAUCAAGAGGAACACUCAUUGCGAAGGCGACAUGCUGGAACAUAACUGACGCUGAGGCGCGAAAGCGUGGGGAGCAAACAGGAUUAGAUACCCGGGUAGUC